CAUUACUGAGUUACCGCUCUAUAACCCUUUGUGAACAUACCUAACUGUUGCUUCGGCGGGCAGGGGGUCCCCUCGGGGACGCCCUCCCGGCCACGCCCUUCGCGGGGCGAGGCGCCCGCCGGAGGAUACCAAACUCUAUUUUAACGACGUUUCUUCUGAGUGGCACAAGCAAAUAAUUAAAACUUUUAACAACGGAUCUCUUGGUUCUGGCAUCGAUGAAGAACGCAGCGAAAUGCGAUAAGUAAUGUGAAUUGCAGAAUUCAGUGAAUCAUCGAAUCUUUGAACGCACAUUGCGCCCGCCAGCAUUCUGGCGGGCAUGCCUGUUCGAGCGUCAUUUCAACCCUCAAGCUCUGCUUGGUGUUGGGGCCCUACGGUUGACGUAGGCCCUUAAAGGUAGUGGCGGACCCUCUCGGAGCCUCCUUUGCGUAGUAACUAACGUCUCGCAUUGGGAUUCGAAGGGACUCUUGCCGUAAAACCCCC
rnacentral:rRNA from 2 species